UUCAUUUUCUGCUCAGACACCGUUGCUUGCAAAAUUCCACCCAGAAGAUAAGGGAGGAGGAAGCAUCGCUGCAGCAUCCUGCUCUGUGCCUGGUUAUAUUACUGGAUCCUUGUGUUGCAGCCCUAAGAUAGAAGGAUUGUCUCCAUUUCACAGAUGAGAGAGAACUGAUGCGCAGGAGGCUGAAAUUGUCUGAAGUCACACAGCAGCCUCCUCUUAAACCUGACAAAGAAUCCAAGGACUUGUGCUGGGGCUGUCAGCUGCUAUUCUGGUGCCCUGGGGACAAAGAAGGGAUCUGGAGGGAAGACUGUCACCCUCUUGCGAAUGUUUCCAAGAGGCAGCUCAGCAUGGGAGAGAAAAGGGGAGCUCCCAGUUCCAGGAACACCUGGCCAGUGUUUCACCUGUUUAUCGGAGUUGACAGGACCAGCCAGCCCUUUCCCACCUCUCCCCGUCAUGAUGGAUGGGAGCCUGGCCUUUGAGAUUCCUGCGAAGGAAUGACAAAGAACAUCAAGGCUCAAUCCUUGGAACUCUCCAUCACUCAUCUUUAAAUUAGACUUCUCUGCUGACUCUCAGAGUUAUAUAUGCUGAGAAUCCACUGCCUCUAAGACAUCCUGCUUGGCAGGUUCCUAUCUCCCUUCGACUGAGGCAUCGUUUCCAAAUCAGACACUUCUCGUCACCACUAUUGCCCUCCCCUUGUCCAACCCACCUUUGGCUCUUGGCUGGAGUACUAAAGCACAGAACGUGGCACGUUGGAGGAAAUCAGCAAGUGUUUGCUAAAGGUACAACAGCGAAACAGAACAGAUAUCAUGUACAGUGCUAUGCCGUGUCAAAAGAGUAUGAGAGGAGCAUUCCAGCAGCCAGGCCUUCAGUUGCUCCCCGAUCCCAGAUGGGGAAAACCUUGUGCGGCACAUUUGCCUCAGGAAGGCUGCACUGGGCUCCCCGGUGGCCCUAGGACAGCGUCCCUUCACGUCGGAGAGACUGGGUGUGGGCCGUGAGGUUUAGGAGGCUUUAGGAGAAGGAAGAUCCUCUCUCGGGAGUGAAAUGAUCUUAUCUGAGAGGAUGGAAGUGGUGAGGGCGUAAGCAUGGGUCCUGGGCUGCGGCUGUGCCUCUUCCUCCCCAUGCUGACACGUGCUUGCCCACAAGCGCCCCGGGCCUCUACAUCUCUUGGUAGUUUAAAGCUCUGUUUUAGUCUCAACUAGCAGUUUUUCUCACUGGUAGAGCUAAGUUCUCAGACUAUUCAAUGGGUUCUGUUUCUUUUUUUAAUAAUUAAAAAAACUGUUCCAGUUAAUUCAUGGUCACUAUGAAAAAAAAUAGGCAGGACAUGUAAAUAAAAGAUUAAAAUAUAUACAAAUCAAAGAAGGAAGUACACCCAGGCCAGUUAUCAGGCAAGCUUGCCAGACAUCAAUCCAGCAAGAAAACGAUGGUGUGCUUUGAAAAUGCCAAAUCCGGCCGGGCGCGGUGGCUCACGCCCGUAAUCCCAGCACUUUGGGAGGCCGAGGCGGGCGGAUCCCGAGGUCAGGAGAUCGAGACCAUCCUGACUAACACGGUGAAACCCCGUCUCUACUAAAAAUACAAAAAAUUAGCCAGGUGUGGUGGCGGGCGCCUAUAGUCCCAGCUACUUGGGAGGCUGAGGCAGGAGAAUGGCGUGAAGCCGGGAGGCGGAGCUUGCAGUGAGCGGAGAUUGCACCACUGCACUCCAGCCUGGGCGACAGAGCAAGACUCUGUCUC
rnacentral:lncRNA from 1 species